GCGCCAUCGGGACAGCGGCAGCCCGACGGUCUCCAAAACCGUAGACGGAGGUUCGACUCCUCCAUGGCGCGCGA
rnacentral:tRNA from 1 species